rnacentral:rRNA from 1 species
GACGAACGCUGGCGGCGUGCCUAAUACAUGCCAGUAGAACGCACAGUUUAUACCGUAGCUUGCUACACCAUAGACUGUGAGUUGCGAACGGGUGAGUAACGCGUAGGUAACCUGCCUGGUAGCGGGGGAUAACUAUUGGAAACGAUAGCUAAUACCGCAUAAUAUUGAUUAUUGCAUGAUAAUUGAUUGAAAGAUGCUAUUGCAUCACUACCAGAUGGACCUGCGUUGUAUUAGCUAGUAGGUGAGGUAACGGCUCACCUAGGCGACGAUACAUAGCCGACCUGAGAGGGUGAUCGGCCACACUGGGACUGAGACACGGCCCAGACUCCUACGGGAGGCAGCAAUAGGGAAUCUUCGGCAAUGGACGAAAGUCUGACCGAGCAACGCCGCGUGAGUGAAGAAGGUUUUCGGAUCGUAAAGCUCUGUUGUAAGAGAAGAACGGGUGUGAGAGUGGAAAGUUCACACUGUGACGGUAUCUUACCAGAAAGGGACGGCUAACUACGUG